GAUGAACGCUGGCGGCGUGCCUAAUACAUGCAAGUCGAGCGAACGGACGAGAAGCUUGCUUCUCUGAUGUUAGCGGCGGACGGGCGAGUAACACGUGGAUAACCUACCUAUAAGACUGGGAUAACUUCGGGAAACCGGAGCUAAUACCGGAUGAUAUUUUGAACCGCAUGGUUCAAAAGUGAAAGACGGUCUUGCUGUCACUUAUAGAUGGAUCCGCGCUGCAUUAGCUAGUUGGUAAGGUAACGGCUUACCAAGGCAACGAUGCAUAGCCGACCUGAGAGGGUGAUCGGCCACACUGGAACUGAGACACGGUCCAGACUCCUACGGGAGGCAGCAAUAGGGAAUCUUCCGCAAUGGGCGAAAGCCUGACGGAGCAACGCCGCGUGAGUGAUGAAGGUCUUCGGAUCGUAAAACUCUGUUAUUAGGGAAGAACAUAUGUGUAAGUAACUGUGCACAUCUUGACGGUACCUAAUCAGAAAGCCACGGCUAACUACGUG
rnacentral:rRNA from 1 species